rnacentral:rRNA from 1 species
AUGCAAUCUUAUGAAGAAAAACUUGAGUUGGAAGUUUCGAUCCCUAGAAAACUUUAUGAUGAGUGGGAACCAAUUAUUAAAAUUAAGAUUAAAGAUCAUGAAUUUUAUGCUUUAUGUGAUUUGGGUGCUAGUGUUUCCACUAUUCCCAAAACUUUGUGUGAUUUGCUAGAUUUCCGUGAUUUUGAUGAUUGCUCUCUAAACUUGCACCUUGCGGAUUCCACUAUUAAGAAACCUAUGGGAAGAAUUAAUGAUGUUCUUAUUGUUGCAAAUAGAAAUUAUGUGCCCGUAGAUUUUAUCGUUCUUGAUAUAGAUUGCAAUCCUUUAUGUCCUAUUAUUCUUGGUAGACCUUUCCUUAGAACGAUUGGUGCAAUUAUUGAUAUGAAGGAAGAGAAUAUUAGAUUCCAAUUUCCAUUAAAGAAAGGCAUGGAACACUUCCCUAGGAAGAAAAUAAAAUUACCAUAUGAAUCUAUCAUGAGAGCCACUUAUGGAUUGCCUACCAAAGAUGGCAAUACCUAG